UGACGUCACAGCGUCAUCAUGCUCUGGGAGGUGGGGUGACGCCUCUGAGCCCUUUCUCAGGAUGCCGAGGCUCCAGGGGACGGGGUGGGGAUGAUAUCACAGUCCCAGGUUCUCGGAGAUGAGGUGCCAUCAAGGAGCCCUGCACCAUCCCACUGCCUUUCUCCGUCCUCCAGGACCCUAUGCUAGCCCUGAAUCAGGAGACAAGGAGUUGCUGUUACUGAUCAGUCUAUGAAACCCCUGCCAUGCGGACAGACUGCAAGCGAGCUGCGCUGAGAAGUGACUUCUGAUUCCACCAGAAUGACAGAGGCUUUAGGAACAGGUUGGAGGUCUCUGGGCAGCACUCUGCCCCUCUCUCACCUCAUCCCCCAAAACUCUGCGCUUAGGGAUUCUUUUUUUCCAAGAAUGCACACUUCAUACUGA